UUCCACGUACCAUCUUUAGGUUUAAGCUGUGGACGGAGAGACUGCAGGAAUUCCGCAGCGUUGUAAAGCGUUUAAGAGUGACAUUCCAGCAUUUUAACAUAGUUUUGCCUGAUCCAAAUAUCGAAAGUAAAAUAUUACAAAAAAAAAGCUCUUGUAUGAGGCAGUCAUUUCACUAAGUUCAGCAGUAACAAGAGAAGUGAUCUCUCUGGAAAGACAAAUGGAUAACGCCGUGCUUACAACGCUGGCAUUCUGUAUGUUCAUAACAGUUUCGUGGUCGUUCGUCUAUAGUAAUUCGUAUUACUAUCCUGAAUUCUCGCCCCCUUGGAAUCAAUGGCCCAACUGGUAUCGUUGUCCGAGGAACGAAGUCUUCAAGGAAUGUGAGAGCAGCAGCUGCGGUGAGCAGAAGUGCUGGCAGCUUCUCGGUUGGCAACAAUACACUGAGCAUCGUUGCAAGACCGACUGCGUAUCCAGAUGCUUCUGCCGCCGGGGCUAUUACAGAAACAGACGCGGUCGGUGCGUUAGGCCCUGGCGCUGCCCGGAGUACAGCAACCGUGUGGCGUACAACAUGUGAAGAUGCCAUGUCUGUUCAGCAUGUGCUGUUUUUCCAAUAAAUUUAUUGCGACCCAUUC